GUGGGGAAUAUUGGACAAUGGGCGAAAGCCUGAUCCAGCCAUGCCGCGUGUGUGAAGAAGGUCUUCGGAUUGUAAAGCACUUUAAGUUGGGAGGAAGGGCAGUAAGUUAAUACCUUGCUGUUUUGACGUUACCGACAGAAUAAGCACCGGCUAACUUCGUGCCAGCAGCCGCGGUAAUACGAAGGGUGCAAGCGUUAAUCGGAAUUACUGGGCGUAAAGCGCGCGUAGGUGGUUUUGUAAGUUGGAGGUGAAAUCCCCGGGCUCAACCUGGGAACUGCCUCAAAAACUGCAUGACUAGAGUACGGUAGAGGGUAGUGGAAUUUCCUGUGUAGCGGUGAAAUGCGUAGAUAUAGGAAGGAACACCAGUGGCGAAGGCGACUACCUGGACUGAUACUGACACUGAGGUGCGAAAGCGUGGGGAGCAAACAGGAUUAGAUACCCGAGUAGUCC
rnacentral:rRNA from 1 species